ACAAACGCCGCUUUCAUUCUUUUCAUCUAUCUUUGUGUUUUCUCCUCUCCAUUGAAGCCGCUUCGAUUCUUUCUUUGAGGUAUCCUGCAAUCCUCAACUCGAACCCUAAUUGGUGGUCCAAUUGCUUUUAUUGUUAAUUGUAUGUUAUUAUGAAUAUGAAUUUGGGUUUUGUUGUUUUUUUGAACAAUGGGUUUUGAUAAGAAGAGAGCGACAGACAGAGGUGGUGUCGCAGACAUGGCGACGACCUUUCUGCUCAACUUGCUAGGGUUCCGACACUAUGUUCAUGAGUUCCUUCACUUUGAAGUUUAAGAUCUCUCACUACGUGAAGUUCAUCUGCCCCUCAAUUUUUAGUUUUCUAGCAUCUGGAAGAGGAAGAGAUAUCAGUCCCACAUUUUGAGUUUGCUGUUGGUGAAGGAUCUUAACCAGUGGAAGGUAUAUAUGGAUUUGUGCUGUUUUGUUUUCCGUCCAUGGAAUCUAUGUAUUUCAUGUUCGUGCUUGUGUAGAGAUAGGUAAUUUGAUUGAUGGUAAACUAAAUUAUGUACUCCCUUAGUCCAUUUUCUGGUCAGAAAAUGCUAAUGCUGUUGAUGCAUCAAUAGUUGAUGAUCCGCCAUCAGUAAGGUUCACUUGGAAAACAGAGAAUUUCUCAAAAUUCAACCGGAGCUCCUUCGUCUCCCUAAAUUAUGUGCAAAAAUGAAUGAUUAUUGAUAAAUUGUAGAAAUUUAGAUACAAAUGCAAAAUGAAAUGUGGAACUUGAGUUGACAUAUCUUGUCUAAAAUCAUUCAUUUUUGCACUAUAUUGUUUAUAUUUCGUUUUGAUUCGCUGCAGAUCGACAUCAGGGAUAAGCCUGAAUUAAAGAAGUUUUUUGCCUCCACAAAGUAAACUUACUCAUUGCUAAUAUUCUUGGUGUAUCUUUUGGCAAUAGGGUAAUUAUAACGCAUAUAAACAAGUGGGAAUCCGUAUUAGUUUUGAUUGGUACGCAGGUUUGAUGCUGUUAUACAUUUUGCUGGAUAUAAGGCUGUUGGCGAAAGUGUGCAGAAGCCAUUGAAGUAUUACGACAAAGUUCCCGUCUUGGCUCCGAAUACUCCCCGACAAUUGAACCAUUUCAGCUUUAUCUACCCUUUACAUCCGAAAGCACUGGUGCAAUUCUACAUGAGUUACCAUAGCUUAAUACUUCUGAUACAUGGGCUACACGGCAGACUCUACGUCACAUUGGGUAGAAGCAUUGCAUGAAGUUUCUGGCCGUCGGCAGAAGACAGAGGAAGCUUCUAUGACUACAAAACGAUUAAAGAGUUACUCGAAUCGCGAAAAGCUUCUUCACAGUAUACAUUCGGAAAUAGCGAUGGUUCAGGAAGCAUGUCGACAUUAAAAAGUUGCAUUUUUGCAAAGAAACACAUAACAACUAUUAUCACAACCCUCCAUCGUCUUACUAUGCUUGGUUUGUGCUUGAAUCAUGUCUUUCUUUAAAAGAUGUUCUGAUGCAAAGUCUGAUUAUUAUACAAUUAGCCUACAAGUUGUUAGAGGUAUACUCCACUUUAACUAUGAUAGUAUCUGCCAUAGAAGAACUGCAAGGAAUGACUUUAAAACGACAAUGAAAAAAGGCUUCUCCACAAUUGGAGGAAAAAGUGACACUCUAUUGCUACUCCAUUGAUCUUUAGAAGAUGGUUCCAUGGUCAUGGUUGUUAGAAAAAGUAAACAUUUUACUGUGUAAGUCAUGUCUCACUUAACUGUUUUUAAUGUGUUAUCAUUGUUUCGCUUAGGAUUAUGAUGAUUUAAGUCAUUUUAUUUUUGAGUUGAACCAUAGAUACGUGAUAUUAGUGGUUGAUUAAGGCAUGUUUGUUUGUAGAAGACUAGAUGUUCAAUGUAAUGCCUCAUUGAAUAUAUUUUGUUGACAGUCUUAAGAAUUUGCCAUAUCACGUUGGAAAUUUUCAAUCAUUAUGCAUUUAUUUUGAUAUCAUUCGUCUUUACUAUAGGUUUAUGUUGCUCAUGGGGUUGCCUUUAGUACCAACUAAAGGUCAAAAAGAUGAGCAACUUGUAUUCAAUUGUCAGUUUCACUUUGUUUGUAUGUCACACCAAAACACAUGUUCAGUUGGUUACAAUAUGAAUGGAUUUAUUUCUCUCUCUCGGGAUGUCCCAAAAUAAAUAAUAUGAUUUUUAUUAAUUUUAAUUUUCACUACAAGGUUCCUACACAUUGUAGUUAAAGGCCAAUUUACAAACUUCACUAAAAGUUUGACUUUA
rnacentral:lncRNA from 1 species